CGUAACAAUCUCGCGCAUUAUGACAGAAAAGCCGAGAUGUCGUAAACCUCCAUUUUACGAUCAAACUGUCGUCAAACCGAGAAGCGCAGAGUAAAGAUCAGAUGUACAUGAUGUCGCUUCACAGUAUAUUCUAUGCAGCCAGAAGACGUACACCGAUCACUAGCUACAACGAAAUAGCGGAAAGAAAGAUGGCGACGAUUCAAUAAAAUGAUUCAAGAACGCUAUACAUGCAGAAUUGAGACAUAACGUGGAUAACAAGCCCGCGCCGUGCAAGAGUUGCGUAGCUGUGUGAAUUCGAAGUAGUGUGGGACAUUGAUGGUAUUUAGUUAAUUAUCUUUAAUCACAUUGAUAAAUCUAGGUGUUU